GACGAACGCUGGCGGCGUGCUUAACACAUGCAAGUCGAACGAAGUGGCGAACGGGUGAGUAAUACGUGGGUAACCUGCCCUCCUUUUUGGGAUAAGCCUUGGAAACGGGGUCUAAUAUCGAAUAAAGGGGGAUGGGCUUGCGGCCUAUCAGCUUGUUGGUGGGGUGAUGGCCUACCAAGGCGGUGACGGGUAGCCGGCCUGCGAGGGUGACCGGCAACAUGGGGACUGCGAUACGGCCCAGACUCCUACGGGAGGCAGAAGUUGGGGAUUUGGCACAAUGGGGGAAAGCCUGAGCCAGCGACGCCGCGUGGGGGAUGAAGGCUUUCGGGUUGUAAACCUCUUUCGAUAUCGAACGGGUAGGUGCAGAAGAAGCGCCGGCUAACUACGUGCCAGCCGCCGCGGUAAUA
rnacentral:rRNA from 1 species